GACGAACGCUGGCGGCGUGCCUAAUACAUGCAAGUAGAACGCACAGUUUAUACCGUAGCUUGCUACACCAUAGACUGUGAGUUGCGAACGGGUGAGUAACGCGUAGGUAACCUGCCUGGUAGCGGGGGAUAACUAUUGGAAACGAUAGCUAAUACCGCAUAAUAUUAAUUAUUGCAUGAUAAUUAAUUGAAAGGUGCAAUUGCACCACUACCAGAUGGACCUGCGUUGUAUUAGCUAGUAGGUGAGGUAACGGCUCACCUAGGCGACGAUACAUAGCCGACCUGAGAGGGUGAUCGGCCACACUUGGACUGAGACACGGCCCAGACUCCUACGGGAGGCAACAGUAGGGAAACUUCGGAAAUGGACGAAAGGCUGAACGAGCAACGCCGCGGGAGUGAAGAAGGGUUUCGGAUCGUAAAGCUCUGUUGUAAGAGAAGAACGGGUGUGAGAGUGGAAAGUUCACACUGUGACGGUAUCUUACCAGAAAGGGACGGCUAACUACGUG
rnacentral:rRNA from 1 species